ACAUACCACUUGUUGCCUCGGCGGAUCAGCCCGCUCCCGGUAAAACGGGACGGCCCGCCAGAGGACCCCUAAACUCUGUUUCUAUAUGUAACUUCUGAGUAAAACCAUAAAUAAAUCAAAACUUUCAACAACGGAUCUCUUGGUUCUGGCAUCGAUGAAGAACGCAGCAAAAUGCGAUAAGUAAUGUGAAUUGCAGAAUUCAGUGAAUCAUCGAAUCUUUGAACGCACAUUGCGCCCGCCAGUAUUCUGGCGGGCAUGCCUGUUCGAGCGUCAUUUCAACCCUCAAGCACAGCUUGGUGUUGGGACUCGCGUUAAUUCGCGUUCCUCAAAUUGAUUGGCGGUCACGUCGAGCUUCCAUAGCGUAGUAGUAAAACCCUCGUUACUGGUAAUCGUCGCGGCCACGCCGUUAAACCCCAACUUCUGAAUGUUGACCUCGGAUCAGGUAGGAAUACCCGCUGAACUUAAGCAUAUCAAU
rnacentral:rRNA from 1 species